GUGUUGGUAUAAACUUAUUUAUAUGAGAGUAUUAUCCUAGGUAGAAGAAAAUAAGACGUGCUUCAAAUAAAUAGUUCACGAUAUGUAUCUUUUUGUCGAGCCUGCAACUUUUGUUGCAGAAAGCUCGACAUAGGGAUAGUGAUCAGGCGGCGGCGGCGGCGUUAGCUCACUUCUUAAAAACUUUAUAUUUUAGAAGGUUGAAGACCUGGA
rnacentral:lncRNA from 1 species